AAUUCGAUGCAACGCGAAGAACCUUACCUGGCCUUGACAUGCAUCUCUAAGCUGGUGAAAGCCAGUGACUCCCGAAAGGGAGAAUUUGCACAGGUGCUGCAUGGCUGUCGUCAGCUCGAGUCGUGAGAUGUUGGGUUAAGUCCCGCAACGAGCGCAACCCCUGUGAACUGUUGCCACCAAGCCGUGAGGCUUGAGCACUCUGUUCAGACUGCCCUGUGAAACGGGGAGGAAGGUGGGGACGACGUCAAGUCAGUAUGGCCCUUACGGCCAGGGCUGCACACGUACUACAAUGCCCAGUACAGAACGAUCCGAGACCGCGAGGUGGAGGAAAUCUAGUAAAACUGGGCCCAGUUCGGAUUGGAGUCUGCAACUCGACUCCAUGAAGCCGGAAUCGCUAGUAAUGGCGCAUCAGCUACGGCGCCGUGAAUACGUUCCCGGGCCUUGUACACACCGCCCGUCACAUCAUGGAAGUCACUUGUAGCCGAAGCCGGCGCGCUAACCGCAAGGAGGCAGCCGCCUACGCUAUGAGUGGUAACUGGGAUGAAGUCGUAACAAGGUAGCC
rnacentral:rRNA from 1 species